UGGACUAAUUGGUGUUGUGUGUGUGUGUGUGUGUGUGUGUGUUGGACUAAUUGGUGUAAGAAUUUUAUUUGGCUUUCAAAUGGUGAAACUAACCUCCUCUACUGGACAAUGUUGGCAGUUUUGGGUCCCUUGGCUAGGACAAUAUUAUGAUGCCAACCAUUCUUUCUUGUCCUUUGCAGAAAAGCAACAAGUGAAAUGAUGUGUAUGCAUUGUUUGAAGGUUCAACCAGUUGGUCCAACUUGCAGUACACCUUCCUGUGCUGGAUUCUCGAUGGCGAAAAAUGUGUACCACUGCCCAUUAUGCAACUUAUGUUGUGUUGGAAAAGGACUUGGCAUAGACUUCUUUCAUUGCAUGACAUGCAAUUGUUGCUUGGGUAUGAAAUUGAAGGAGCACAAGUGCCGGGAGAAAGGUCUAGAGACAAACUGUCCGAUUUGUUGUGAUUUUCUGUUUACAUCAAGUGCAGCAGUAAGAGCUCUGCGCUGUGGACAUUUCAUGCAUUCUGCAUGCUUCCAAGCGUACACUUGCAGUCAUUACACCUGCCCAAUUUGCAGCAAAUCCUUGGGAGACAUGGCCGUGUACUUUGGCAUGAUUGAUGCCUUGUUGGCUGCUGAAGAGCUUCCUGAAGAGUACCGGGAUCGAUGUCAGUGAGAUUAUCAUCCAGUCGUAUGAGUGUCGAAGAAAGAGAAAUGAGCCAAUGAUUUCUCAGGUGCUGUAAUUUGCUACCCACAGGCUUCUGAAAUAACCAAGGCUGAUCACAUCAAAGUUGAAACCUCCCCCAGGCAUUGCAACACAGUGCAGUAGAAACUGCUGUCUGAUGAAUCCAAGCACUCACAAGAUGGAUUCCCCUCUUCAGCAAGCACAUGACCAAUAGUGCAUCUUGCUCUGCUUCCCCUCCAAGCACCUCUGACAAUUGGGAAGAACAAACUGCCACUCUGCUAAUCCGAACGACAACGAGGAUCUCUCUGUGGAACCACAGUCUGGUCUGCAUCCUAGAGGAAGAAGGAAUGCAGAAGAAUUCAUUAGGGUUAUCCCAUCUCUAAAUGUAGAGAUAUAGAUGGGCAUAUCUGAACACAGAUCAAGAGCAGCUGAUGGUUCAGACUUCCUAUGAGCAAUCAGUGAAUAUACACAGAUGGAUUGAAAUAUAAAUUUGAUAUUCUGCAAUCAAAGAAGAAAACUUUUAACACAAAUGGAACUCAGGAAAAGAAUCAUGUCUCACCAUUUUGGCAGAUGCAAGCAAGAUUUGUCACACCUGAUCUACAUUUGGGUUUGCAGCUAUCACUUGACAAAAGCUGAACAUGCAAGAUAAAGAUAUAAUCCGCCUUUCUCAUCAUCCUGAAGAAAAUGAUGACCGGAAUGAUUUGUCUCAGUACAACUUUGCCUACAAGAGUAGUACAACAUGCAACUUUCAACCCAUCAUUUUGCCACAUGAAAACUGUCUUCAACAGAGGUUUGUACAUCUUUCAGAAAUAAGCAUGAAUUAUUCAGUUUUUGUCACUCCCGGAUAAUUAAUUGAUGUCCAGCUGCCUUUCUAUGUCUUCAUGAGUUUGAGCAUCAUGUCUCUUAGGGCUGCUAUUUUUCUCAAAUCAACAUGCAUGUAGACCUGUGUGUAGGAACAUAAACCAAAUUGAUGCUUAAAUUGACUGUUUAUCAUGUAAUUGUUGCCUUCAGUACUCUACCAAUCUUAAAUUGUUGCCAUCAGUAUCCUAUCGAUCUUCAUAAGGAAACAUAGAGAUUGAUUAAAUCUUACUUCAAUGUUUCUUUAGUUUGUUUGGUGGAUGCAAGUGGUUGUUUCAGUAACCCAAUGAGAAUCACAUCUCUUCCUCUUUCAGUGCCUACAUCUUGACAUCCAAGUGAAUGUGUACAUGUUUGUUUCAUCAUGCAAAAGUUUCUACAGUUUUGAAAGUCAUGGUCCACAAUGCAACAUGAAAAGGAUAGGAGAAGAGAAAAAUGUCAUGCGCUGACAAAUUAAAAGGCAGACUGGCUGUCCUCUUUGAUAUCCAAAUUAAUCUUGGAUCUAGAAAUCAACCUACUCUCAUAAAAUUCUCAUGGUAUAGAUAGACAUGUCAUAAUAUAGAUAGACAUGUCCCAUAAUGCAACAUGAAAAGGAAAGGAGAAAGAAAAAUGUGAUUGGCAA